rnacentral:lncRNA from 1 species
UGACUUGGAUUUCGGGGACAGUUUUGAGUCAAACUGAAAUGGUGAGCUUCUAUACUCCAUAAGGCUCUAUUUCAUGAUAUGGACUUCUUUUAUUUUUGUUAUUUCUUUUGUUUGGUUUUGGCUAUGGUCGGGGGCAUGUCCCAACCGGAUGUUAUUGAUUCUUGUUAGAGGCAUUAUCAUCUACUAUGGGCAUGGGUAGUGUUGGUAUUGGUGUCAGCCUUGGUAUUGAUAUUGGCAUUGGGGUUGGCACCAUUUGGGU